GGUUGUAAACCGCUUUUGUCAGGGAAGAAAUCUUUUGAUCUAAUACCUCGGAGGGAUGACGGUACCUGAAGAAUAAGCACCGGCUAACUACGUGCCAGCAGCCGCGGUAAUACGUAGGGUGCGAGCGUUAAUCGGAAUUACUGGGCGUAAAGCGUGCGCAGGCGGUCUUGCAAGACAGGUGUGAAAUCCCCGGGCUUAACCUGGGAACUGCACUUGUGACUGCAAGGCUGGAGUACGGCAGAGGGGGAUGGAAUUCCGCGUGUAGCAGUGAAAUGCGUAGAUAUGCGGAGGAACACCGAUGGCGAAGGCAAUCCCCUGGGCCUGUACUGACGCUCAUGCACGAAAGCGUGGGGAGCAAACAGGAUUAGAUACCCUGGUAGUCCACGCCCUAAACGAUGUCAACUGGUUGUUGGACGGUUUGCUGUUCAGUAACGAAGCU
rnacentral:rRNA from 1 species